UACGAAGGGGGCUAGCGUUGCUCGGAAUUACUGGGCGUAAAGGGCGCGUAGGCGGAUAGUUUAGUCAGAGGUGAAAGCCCAGGGCUCAACCUUGGAAUUGCCUUUGAUACUGGCUAUCUUGAGUUCGGGAGAGGUGAGUGGAAUGCCGAGUGUAGAGGUGAAAUGCGUAGAUAUCAGGAGGAACACCUGUGGCGAAAGCGGCUCACUGGACCAUAACUGACGCUGAUGCACGAAAGCUAGGGGAGCAAACGGG
rnacentral:rRNA from 1 species